GAUGAACGCUGGCGGCGUGCCUAAUACAUGCAAGUCGAGCGAACAGACGAGGAGCUUGCUCCUCUGACGUUAGCGGCGGACGGGUGAGUAACACGUGGAUAACCUACCUAUAAGACUGGGAUAACUUCGGGAAACCGGAGCUAAUACCGGAUAAUAUAUUGAACCGCAUUGUUCAAUAGUGAAAGACGGCUUUGCUGUCACUUAUAGAUGGAUCCGCGCCGCAUUAGCUAGUUGGUAAGGUAACGGCUUACCAAGGCAACGAUGCGUAGCCGACCUGAGAGGGUGAUCGGCCACACUGGAACUGAGACACGGUCCAGACUCCUACGGGAGGCAGCAGUAGGAAAUCUUCCGCAAUGGGCGAAAGCCUGACGGAGCAACGCCGCGUGAGUGAUGAAGGUCUUCGGAUCGUAAAACUCUGUUAUUAGGGAAGAACAAAUGUGUAAGUAACUAUGCACGUCUUGACGGUACCUAAUCAGAAAGCCACGGCUAACUACGUG
rnacentral:rRNA from 1 species